UACGAAGGGGGCUAGCGUUGCUCGGAAUUACUGGGCGUAAAGGGCGCGUAGGCGGGUGUUUAAGUCAGGGGUGAAAUCCUGGAGCUCAACUCCAGAACUGCCUUUGAUACUGAAGAUCUUGAGUUCGGGAGAGGUGAGUGGAACUGCGAGUGUAGAGGUGAAAUUCGUAGAUAUUCGCAAGAACACCAGUGGCGAAGGCGGCUCACUGGCCCGAUACUGACGCUGAGGCACGAAAGCGUGGGGAGCAAACAGG
rnacentral:rRNA from 1 species